UGAACCUCCUUCGUGCUUAGGGAUCGUGGCUUGCAAUUUUUCCACGUGAACGAGGAAUUCCCAGUAAGCGCGAGUCAUCAGCUCGCGUUGAUUACGUCCCUGCCCUUUGUACACACCGCCCGUCGCUACUACCGAUUGAACGGUCGCAUUGAGGUCUUCGGAGUGGACGCGCGUUAUUCGGCCCCCUCGGGGGCUGGGUCGUCGCGCGAUCGCGAAGAUGACCGAAAUCGGCCGUUUAGAGGAAGUAAAAGUCGUAACAAGGUUUCCGUAGGUGAACCUGCGGAAGGAUCAUUA
rnacentral:ncRNA from 1 species